GUCUAAGUAUAAGCAAUCAUACUGUGAAACUGCGAAUGGCUCAUUAUAUCAGUUAUCGUUUAUUUGAUAGUACCUUACUACAUGGAUAACCGUGGUAAUUCUAGAGCUAAUACAUGCUAAAAACCUCGACUUCGGAAGGGGUGUAUUUAUUAGAUAAAAAACCAAUGCCCUUUGGGCUCCUUGGUGAUUCAUAAUAACUUUACGAAUCGCAUGGCCUUGCGCCGGCGAUGGUUCAUUCAAAUUUCUGCCCUAUCAACUUUCGAUGGUAGGAUAGUGGCCUACCAUGGUUUCCACGGGUAACGGGGAAUUAGGGUUCGAUUCCGGAGAGGGAGCCUGAGAAACGGCUACCACAUCCAAGGAAGGCAGCAGGCGCGCAAAUUACCCAAUCCCAAUUCGGGGAGGUAGUGACAAUAAAUACUGAUGCAGGGCUCUUUUGGGUCUUGCAAUCGGAAUGAGUACAGUCUAAAUCCCUUAACGAGGAACAAUUGGAGGGCAAGUCUGGUGCCAGCAGCCGCGGUAAUUCCAGCUCCAAUAGCGUAUAUUAAAGUUGUUGCAGUUAAAAAGCUCGUAGUUGAACCUUGGGUCUGGCUGGUUGGUCCGCCUCACCGCGUGUACUGAUCCGGCCGGACCUUUCCUCCUGGGGAAUCGCAUGCCCUUCACUGGGUGUGCUGGGGAACCAGGACUUUUACUUUGAAAAAAUUAGAGUGUUCAAAGCAGGCCUUCGCUCGAAUACAUUAGCAUGGAAUAAUAGAAUAGGACGUGUGGUUCUAUUUUGUUGGUUUCUAGGACCGCCGUAAUGAUUAAUAGGGAUAGUCGGGGGCAUCAGUAUUCAAUUGUCAGAGGUGAAAUUCUUGGAUUUAUUGAAGACUAACUACUGCGAAAGCAUUUGCCAAGGAUGUUUUCAUUAAUCAGUGAACGAAAGUUAGGGGAUCGAAGACGAUCAGAUACCGUCGUAGUCUUAACCAUAAACUAUGCCGACUAGGGAUCGGGCGAUGUUAUCUUUUGACUCGCUCGGCACCUUACGAGAAAUCAAAGUCUUUGGGUUCUGGGGGGAGUACGUCAGCAAUGAUGAAACUUAAAGAAAUUGACGGAAGGGCACCACCAGGAGUGGAGCCUGCGGCUUAAUUUGACUCAACACGGGGAAACUCACCAGGUCCAGACAUGAAAAGGAUUGACAGAUUGAGAGCUCUUUCUUGAUCUCAUGGGUGGUGGUGCAUGGCCGU
rnacentral:rRNA from 1 species